rnacentral:misc_RNA from 1 species
GAUGAAGAACGUAGUGAAAUGCGAUAAGUAGUGUGAAUUGCAGAAUUCAGUGAAUCAUCGAAUCUUUGAACGCACAUUGCGCCCCUUGGUAUCCCGAGGGGCAUGCCUGUUCGAGCGUCAUUUCACCACUCAAGCCUGGCUUGGUGUUGGGCGACGUCCCCUUUGGGGACGCGCCUCGAAACGCUCGGCGGCGUGGCACCGGCUUUAAGCGUAGCAGAAUCUUUCGCUUUGGAAGUCGGGGCCCCGUCUGCCGGAAGACCUACUCGCAAGGUUGACCUCGGAUCAGGCAGGGAUACCCACUGAACUUAAGCAUAUCAAUAAGCGGAGGA